GACGAACGCUGGCGGCGUGCCUAAUACAUGCAAGUCGAACGCUUCUUUCCUCCCGAGUGCUUGCACUCAAUUGGAAAGAGGGGUGGCGGACGGGUGAGUAACACGUGGGUAACCUACCCAUCAGAGGGGGAUAACACUUGGAAACAGGUGCUAAUACCGCAUAACAGUUUAUGCCGCAUGGCAUAAGAGUGAAAGGCGCUAUCGGGUGUCGCUGAUGGAUGGGCCCGCGGGGCAUUAGCUAGUUGGUGAGGUAACGGCUCACCAAGGCCACGAUGCGUAGCCGACCUGAGAGGGUGAUCGGCCACACUGGGACUGAGACACGGACCAGACUCCUACGGGAGGCAGCAGUAGGGAAUCUUCGGCAAUGGACGAAAGUCUGACCGAGCAACGCCGCGUGAGUGAAGAAGGUUUUCGGAUCGUAAAACUCUGUUGUUAGAGAAGAACAAGGACGUUAGUAACUGAACGUCCCCUGACGGUAUCUAACCAGAAAGCCACGGCUAACUACGUG
rnacentral:rRNA from 1 species